GUGAAUUAUGAGUUAGUCACGAUCUCUCCAAUUAAAUGAGUAGAGUAACAAUUUGGUCGACAGAUACUUUUAAUCCGCUUAAUUCUCGAAUAAAAAAUAAAUUGCUAUAAAAUCAAUUUCAAUAUGUACAUCGCGUUUCACUUUUAUUUCAAUAAUUAUAAUUAUUCAAUUAAUUAAAAAAAUAGUGAUUUUUGCUAAAUAUUUGUGGAUUUCCAAUGUUGAUCAAUUUAUAAUAAUUCAUACUGAAUUUUUCGGCUCGGAAGACAACCUCGGAAGUGACUUAUUUUUAAUUAUCAUCAUUACGGAUUAUCAAUCACAGUUUUAAGUCAAGAAAAAACUUUUAUAAGGCUGUAAAUAAAAUCCGAUAAAAAUUCCGCUCUAAAUUUUCAAAAUAAGUUUCAUAUUCGAUUUUGAUAGAACUCAAGAAUACAAUCAACUAAUUACACCUAUUAAGAAUUCUAUUAAAAACAACAGAGUUUAUUGAGUCAAGGUCUAACAUAGGUAAACGAGUGAAUCAUUGUACAAUUACUAAUUGAAAGUAACCAAUUUGUUCUGGUUUGUGUUCUUGAGAACAAUGUUAAAUAUUUUCUAUAACUUUCAAAACAAAAUAUGUACACUAUUUGAUCUGAUUAAAUUAUGUAAAAAAUGACAUUGAAGUUUUCAGAAAAAAAAAUAAUUAUAGAUUGGAUCUAAUGACAAUAAAAAUUAACACCUUGUAAUUAGAUAAAUACAAAAAAUACAUUUAUGAUUCAUGGUCCUCGAUUAACGAAAUUAGCUGCUUACGUACUCUGUAGAAGAAUAUUAUGAGUAAUAGAAUUGUUUGUUUUAUUUUACCUUAAUUAGAACUUAGUCGUUUAGCCUUCAUUAUUAAAGAGCCAUGCAACAUAAGCAUACUUAAUCUAGUAAACGCAUCCAUUAUUUUUUUUUUCAUACAUUUUCAGUGAAAAUUUAUCCCUAGUUUCAGUUUCUUUGACCAUAUGUUAUAAAAAUUAAUGUAACUAGCUCGUUAGAGUAAUUACAAUACUCGUGUGUGAAUUGUUACACUCGCCUAACGCCUCGUGUACCAAAUUUCGCACUUAUGCUUCAUACUUAUUUGUACUAUAUAGUGAAAAUACUGUUAUAAUUCUAGACAUAUUAAUCUUUAUGAUAUUCAUCAAAAAUUUAUGCGAAAAGAGAAGGAUUAGUUCUUUUAGUUUUUCAGUUCAUAAAUUUCACGAAUAGUUUUAAUAAUAAUAAAAAAGCAGUGCACUUUAUAUUCAAAUGAAUUUAAUAAAAAUAAUGAUUGUUUUUUAUG